rnacentral:rRNA from 1 species
AGUUUGAUCCCUGGCUCAGGAUGAACGCUGGCGGCGUGCCUAAUACAUGCAAGUCGAGCGAACAGAUAAGGAGCUUGCUCCUUUGACGUUAGCGGCGGACGGGUGAGUAACACGUGGGUAACCUACCUAUAAGACUGGGAUAACUUCGGGAAACCGGAGCUAAUACCGGAUAAUAUUUCGAACCGCAUGGUUCGAUAGUGAAAGAUGGUUUUGCUAUCACUUAUAGAUGGACCCGCGCCGUAUUAGCUAGUUGGUAAGGUAACGGCUUACCAAGGCAACGAUACGUAGCCGACCUGAGAGGGUGAUCGGCCACACUGGAACUGAGACACGGUCCAGACUCCUACGGGAGGCAGCAGUAGGGAAUCUUCCGCAAUGGGCGAAAGCCUGACGGAGCAACGCCGCGUGAGUGAUGAAGGUCUUCGGAUCGUAAAACUCUGUUAUUAGGGAAGAACAUACGUGUAAGUAACUAUGCACGUCUUGACGGUACCUAAUCAGAAAGCCACGGCUAACUACGUGCCAGCAGCCGCGGUAAUACGUAGGUGGCAAGCGUUAUCCGGAAUUAUUGGGCGUAAAGCGCGCGUAGGCGGUUUUUUAAGUCUGAUGUGAAAGCCCACGGCUCAACCGUGGAGGGUCAUUGGAAACUGGAAAACUUGAGUGCAGAAGAGGAAAGUGGAAUUCCAUGUGUAGCGGUGAAAUGCGCAGAGAUAUGGAGGAACACCAGUGGCGAAGGCGACUUUCUGGUCUGUAACUGACGCUGAUGUGCGAAAGCGUGGGGAUCAAACAGGAUUAGAUACCCUGGUAGUCCACGCCGUAAACGAUGAGUGCUAAGUGUUAGGGGGUUUCCGCCCCUUAGUGCUGCAGCUAACGCAUUAAGCACUCCGCCUGGGGAGUACGACCGCAAGGUUGAAACUCAAAGGAAUUGACGGGGACCCGCACAAGCGGUGGAGCAUGUGGUUUAAUUCGAAGCAACGCGAAGAACCUUACCAAAUCUUGACAUCCUUUGAUCGCUCUAGAGAUAGAGUUUUCCCCUUCGGGGGACAAAGUGACAGGUGGUGCAUGGUUGUCGUCAGCUCGUGUCGUGAGAUGUUGGGUUAAGUCCCGCAACGAGCGCAACCCUUAAACUUAGUUGCCAGCAUUCAGUUGGGCACUCUAAGUUGACUGCCGGUGACAAACCGGAGGAAGGUGGGGAUGACGUCAAAUCAUCAUGCCCCUUAUGAUUUGGGCUACACACGUGCUACAAUGGACAAUACAAAGGGCAGCGAAACCGCGAGGUCAAGCAAAUCCCAUAAAGUUGUUCUCAGUUCGGAUUGUAGUCUGCAACUCGACUACAUGAAGCUGGAAUCGCUAGUAAUCGUAGAUCAGCAUGCUACGGUGAAUACGUUCCCGGGUCUUGUACACACCGCCCGUCACACCACGAGAGUUUGUAACACCCGAAGCCGGUGGAGUAACCAUUUUGGAGCUAGCCGUCGAAGGUGGGACAAAUGAUUGGGGUGAAGUCGUAACAAGGUAGCCGUAUC